rnacentral:misc_RNA from 1 species
GAAAUGCGAUAAGUAAUGUAAAUUGCAGAAUUCAGUGAAUCAUCGAAUCUUUGAACGCACCUUGCGCUCCUUGGUAUUCCUUGGAGCAUGCCUGUUUGAGUAUCAUGAAAUCUUCAAAGUAAAUCUUUUGUUAACUCAAUUGGUUUCUACUUUGGUAUUGGAGGUCUUUGCAGCUUCACACCUGCUCCUCUUUGUUCAUUAGCUGGAUCUCAGUGUUAUGCUUUGUUCCACUCGGCGUGAUAAGUUAUCUAUCGCUGAGGACACUGUAAAAGGUGGCCAAGGUAAAUGCAGAUGAACCGCUUCUAAUAGUCCAUUGACUUGGACAAUACUUUUAUGAUCUGAUCUCAAAUCAGGUAGGACUACCCGCUGAACUUAAGC